rnacentral:rRNA from 1 species
GACGAACCGUGCGAACGUUAUUCGGAAUCACUGGGCUUAAAGGGCGCGUAGGCGGGCGGCCGAGUCCGGGGUGAAAGCCCCCAGCUCGACUGGGGAAGUGCCUCGGAUACCGGCAGUCUCGAGGGGGAUAGGGGCGUGCGGAACUUCCGGUGGAGCGGUGAAAUGUGUAGAUAUCGGAAGGAACACCGGUGGCGAAAGCGGCGCGCUGGAUCCCUUCUGACGCUGAGGCGCGAAAGCCAGGGGAGCGAACGGG